rnacentral:rRNA from 1 species
CCUACGGGUGGCAGCAGUGAGGAAUAUUGGUCAAUGGGCGCGAGCCUGAACCAGCCAAGUCGCGUGAGGGAAGACGGUCCUAUGGAUUGUAAACCUCUUUUGUCGGGGAGCAAAAGACGCCACGCGUGGCGUUCCGAGAGUACCCGAAGAAAAAGCAUCGGCUAACUCCGUGCCAGCAGCCGCGGUAAUACGGAGGAUGCGAGCGUUAUCCGGAUUUAUUGGGUUUAAAGGGUGCGCAGGCGGAAGGUCGAGUCAGCGGUAAAUUGAGAGGCUCAACCUCUUCGAGUCGUUGAAACUGGUUGUCUUGAGUGCACGAGAGGUAUGCGGAAUGCGUGGUGUAGCGGUGAAAUGCAUAGAUAUCACGCAGAACUCCGAUUGCGAAGGCAGCAUACCGGCGCUCAACUGACGCUCAUGCACGAAAGUGUGGGUAUCGAACAGGAUUAGAUACCCCUGUAGUC